rnacentral:rRNA from 1 species
UUCGACCUCAAAUCAGGUAGGACUACCCGCUGAACUUAAGCAUAUCAAUAAGACGGAGGAAAA